CCGAAAGGUCGAAUGGGGAGAUUCAGUCGCGAACCGAGGGUCGGCGUAACCGUCUGGUGCGACGGCGGCCUUUACCGGCCGUUCGCGCACCUCGCGUUACAAUGCCGAUUACGGACGCGUGCACUUCUCCCCUAGUAGGACGUCGCGAUCCGUUGGGUGCCGGUCUACGGUCCGCAGUGUAGCCCGCGAGCGCGGUUCGCCGUCGCUYUCGGACACGCGGUUAACCGACCGGCUCGCCCGACGGUUUACAGAUGGCGGGAGGCCGCGACUUUAGUUCGCGUCCGGCCCGCGGCAAGCUCGCCACGCUGCKYSGGCGAUCGGACCUAGCGCCGAUCCCGGCCGCUGGCGGCUGUUCGCCGCGGAGUUCUCGGACAGACCUCUUUGAAACGCCGAUCUGCGACGCUAUAGCUUUGGGUACUUUCAGGACCCGUCUUGAAACACGGACCAAGGAGUCUAGCGUGUGCGCGAGUCAUUGGGAUAACACUAAACCUAAAGGCGCAAUGAAAGUAAAAGUUCGUCUCGCGCGAACAGAGGGAAGACGGUCGGUCCGCAGAGACUGACCCGCACUCCCGGGGCGUCUCGUUCUCAUUGCGAGAGGAGGCGCACCAAGAGCGUACACGCUGGGACCCGAAAGAUGGUGAACUAUGCCUGGUCAGGACGAAGUCAGGGGAAACCCUGAUGGAGGUCCGUAGCGAUUCUGACGUGCAAAUCGAUCGUCGGAACUGGGUAUAGGGGCGAAAGACUAAUCGAA
rnacentral:rRNA from 1 species